UACGGGGGGAGCAAGCGUUGUUCGGAUUUACUGGGCGUAAAGGGCGCGUAGGCGGUCAGCACAAGUCAGUUGUGAAAUCUCCGGGCUUAACUCGGAAAGGUCAACUGAUACUGUGCGGCUAGAGUGCAGAAGGGGCAACUGGAAUUCUCGGUGUAGCGGUGAAAUGCGUAGAUAUCGAGAGGAACACCUGCGGCGAAGGCGGGUUGCUGGGCUGACACUGACGCUGAUGCGCGAAAGCUAGGGGAGCGAACGGG
rnacentral:rRNA from 1 species